GAGGAGGAUGCACACAGUAUAGCAGCAAAAAUAUGAAGAUAACUGGGCAGAAGAAGAAUGGUGGAUCUUGGAUGGACUAAAAAAUGAGAUCCAGCAAGAGGUCAGAGCUGAAUGGAGAUAAAGGAGGAAUUCCCAGUAGCUGCUCCAGUAAAAAAGUUGACCACCAACCUGAAGAGGCCAUUUUAUUAGCAGACUUGUAAAGACAAUGUGUGUCUACUUGGUCCUUAACUUCUGAUACAGAACAGUGCUAUUUCAAAG
rnacentral:lncRNA from 1 species